AUGAAGACACUAGUCCUCCUCUCUGCCCUUGCCCUGCUGGCCUUCCAAGUCCAGGCUGAUCCUAUCCAAAACACAGAUGAAGAGACUAAUACUGAGGAGCAGCCAGGGAAAGAAGACCAAGCUGUUUCUGUCUCCUUUGGAGACCCAGAAGGCUCUUCUCUUCAAGAGGAAUCAUUGAGAGAUCUGAUAUGAUAUUGUAGAACAAGAGGCUGCAAAAGAAGAGAACGCCUGAAUGGGACCUACAGAAAGGGUCAUUUAAUGUACAUGCUCUGCUGCUGCUGA